UACAGAGGUCUCAAGCGUUGUUCGGAUUCAUUGGGCGUAAAGGGUGUGUAGGUGGCGCCGUAAGUCGGGUGUGAAAUUUCGGAGCUUAACUCCGAAACUGCAUUCGAUACUGCGGUGCUUGAGGACUGGAGAGGAGACUGGAAUUCAUGGUGUAGCAGUGAAAUGCGUAGAGAUCAUGAGGAAGACCAGUGGCGAAGGCGGGUCUCUGGGGCAGUAACUGACGCUGAGGAGCGAAAGCGUGGGGAGCGAACAGG
rnacentral:rRNA from 1 species